rnacentral:rRNA from 1 species
CACGGGGGGAGCGAGCGUUGUUCGGAAUCACUGGGCGUAAAGGGCGUGUAGGCGGUCAGGUUAGUGAGAUGUGAAAUGCCCCGGCUCACCCGGGGACCUGCAUCUCAAACUGCCUGGCUUGAGUAUGGGAGAGGAUGAGGGAAUUCCUGGUGUAGCGGUGAAAUGCGUAGAUAUCAGGAGGAACACCGGUGGCGAAAGCGCUCAUCUGGCCCAAUACUGACGCUGAGGCGCGAAAGCUAGGGGAGCAAACGGG